CCUACGGGUGGCAGCAGUGGGGAAUUUUGGACAAUGGACGCAAGUCUGAUCCAGCCAUUCCGCGUGCAGGACGAAGGCCUUCGGGUUGUAAACUGCUUUUGUACGGAACGAAAAAGCCUUGGUUAAUACCCAGGGUCCAUGACGGUACCGUAAGAAUAAGCACCGGCUAACUACGUGCCAGCAGCCGCGGUAAUACGUAGGGUGCAAGCGUUAAUCGGAAUUACUGGGCGUAAAGCGUGCGCAGGCGGUUAUAUAAGACAGAUGUGAAAUCCCCGAGCUUAACUUGGGAACUGCAUUUGUGACUGUAUAGCUAGAGUACGGCAGAGGGGGAUGGAAUUCCGCGUGUAGCAGUGAAAUGCGUAGAUAUGCGGAGGAACACCGAUGGCGAAGGCAAUCCCCUGGGCCUGUACUGACGCUCAUGCACGAAAGCGUGGGGAGCAAACAGGAUUAGAUACCCUAGUAGUC
rnacentral:rRNA from 1 species